CCAGAUUGAAGCAUCGUCCAUAUUUAGCACCUGACUUCUGCUUUUCCGUCAACAAACAUCUGAAAGCAAGCGUUACACGUAUCUGAAAGCAAGCGUUCCGAAUAUACACCGUGUUACUGCAUAUAUGUUAAAUUAGGAUUUGCUCAUUCAACAAUACGUACACAUCGAUCAGGCUUGAUCAGGCUUAAGCAUUUACAAUAAGCUAAAUGAUUAUGAAGACUUUACUAAAAAUUAAUAGUAAGCGAUGGUUUUGAGCGUUCAAGGUUGCUUCAGAUGGACACUAGGCUGACUUUUUAAGAGAGAUAUUGCAUCGUAUUUUGUCAAUAUGAUCAGGUAUAUGAAGUUCUGCAUACAAAGCUAGGCUAUUCCAGGCGGUUUUUUCCUUGGCUUGACGUGGUCUUUUUAUGCAUGGUUGGGGAGUUGACAGUUCAAAAUAUGAGCAAUGCAUGUUCUACAAAUCAUGCUUUAAACAAAAUGAUGUCAAAAUUUACAAGAAAUAUGUAGAAAUUCAUUUGGUUUCAUCUAAGACCGAUCAGUUUGGUAGAGGGUUAACUAUACACAUUCCUGCGCAAUUAGACAAAUGUAUAUGUCCAGUGGCUUUUAUUGCUUUGCUAAUUGCCAGAUAGACUUGUAGUAGGUGGACCGCUAUUUCGUCUUUUGUUGGUUAGCUAGUUUGACUAAAUACCAAUUUUCUGCAAUACUCAAAAUAUCUAUACAUGCUUUAGGUAUUAAAUAUUCUCGUUGUUCGUCGAACUUAUUCAACAUAGGUAUGGACCUUUAAUGGUUUACUUCUAUAAAUUGUGACUUGGAUGGAGAUUUGUCUCAUUGGCACUCAUACCACAUCUUUCUAUAUCUAUGUAUGGAGAUAGCUUGUGUCGUUGAUGGAUUAUCCGAUAAAAAUAUUUAGGUCGUUUGAAAGCGGGUGCAUAUUUGCGUUACAUAUACGAAUUCCC
rnacentral:lncRNA from 1 species